rnacentral:rRNA from 1 species
AUUGAACGCUGGCGGCAUGCCUUACACAUGCAAGUCGAGCGCGAAAGGGGGCAACCCCGAGUAGAGCGGCGGACGGGUGAGUAACACAUCGGAACGUGCCCAGUAGUGGGGGACAACCUCGAGAAAUCGAGGCUAAUACCGCAUACGACCCACGGGUAAAAGCGGGGGACCGCAAGGCCUCGCGCUAUCGGAGCGGCCGAUGUCCGAUUAGCUAGUUGGCGGGGUAAGGGCCCACCAAGGCGACGAUCGGUAGCUGGUCUGAGGGGAAGACCAGCCACACUGGGACUGAGACACGGCCCAGACUCCUACGGGAGGCAGCAGUGGGGAAUUUUGGACAAUGGGGGCAACCCUGAUCCAGCCAUGCCGCGUGCGGGAAGAAGGCCUUCGGGUUGUAAACCGCUUUCGGCCGGAACGAAAUCGCCCGGGUGAACAGCCCGGGUGGAUGACGGUACCGGAAGAAGAAGCACCGGCUAACUACGUGCCAGCCGCCGCGGUAA